UUGGGAAGAACACCAGUGGCGAAGGCGCUCUACUGGGCCGUAACUGACGCUGAGGGACGAAAGCUAGGGGAGCGAAAGGGAUUAGAUACCCCUGUAGUCCUAGCUGUAAACGAUGGAUACUAGGUGUUGGACGUAUCGACCCGUUCAGUACCGCAGCCAACGCGAUAAGUAUCCCGCCUGGGGAGUACGCACGCAAGUGUGAAACUCAAAGGAAUUGACGGGGGCCCGCACAAGCGGUGGAGUAUGUGGUUUAAUUCGAUGCAACGCGAAGAACCUUACCAGGGCUUGACAUCCCUCGAAUCCUCUUGAAAGAGAGGAGUGCCUUCGGGAGCGAGGAGACAGGUGGUGCAUGGCUGUCGUCAGCUCGUGUCGUGAGAUGUUGGGUUAAGUCCCGCAACGAGCGCAACCCACGUCCUUAGUUGCCAUCAUUAAGUUGGGCACUCUGGGGAGACUGCCGGGGACAACUCGGAGGAAGGUGUGGAUGACGUCAAGUCAUCAUGCCCCUUACGUUCUGGGCUACACACGUACUACAAUGCUUCGGACAAAGAGCAGCCAACUAGCGAUAGUGAGCUAAUCUCAUAAACCGAGGCACAGUUCAGAUUGCAGGCUGCAACUCGCCUGCAUGAAGGAGGAAUCGCUAGUAAUCGCCGGUCAGCAUACGGCGGUGAAUACGUUCCCGGGCCUUGUACACACCGCCCGUCACACCAUGGGAGUUGGCCACGCCC
rnacentral:rRNA from 1 species